AACGCGAAGAACCUUACCCGGGCUUGAACUGCAGCUGCAUGGGGUGGAGACACUCCUUCCCUUCGGGGCCGCUGUGGAGGUGCUGCAUGGUUGUCGUCAGCUCGUGCCGUGAGGUGUCGGCUUAAGUGCCAUAACGAGCGCAACCCUUGCCGUCAGUUGCCAGCAGGUCAAGCUGGGGACUCUGGCGGGACUGCCACCGCAAGGUGAGAGGAAGGGGGGGAUGACGUCAAAUCAGCACGGCCCUUACGUCUGGGGCGACACACGUGUUACAAUGGCGGCUACAGAGGGAAGCUGACAGGUGACUGUCGGCGGAUCCGGAAAAGGCCGUCUCAGUUCGGACUGGAGUCUGCAACCCAACUCCACGAAGCUGGAUUCGCUAGUAAUCGCGCAUCAGCCGUGGCGCGGUGAAUACGUUCCCGGGUCUUGUACACACGC
rnacentral:rRNA from 1 species